GUGAGGGUGACAUCCCAAGUAUCCUGGGCUUCCACUAAAGCGUAGUCGCCAAAAUGAUCGCCAUCAGCUAAUACAGUCAAAACAACUUGAUCGUCAUACUUGCCUGGACCAAUUUUAUUGACUUUACCAUGGGCAAUCAACAAUACUUGAUUAGCUUGUUGGCCUGCUCGUAUGAUGACAUCUCCCGCAGCAAAUUCUUGUUGCACAAAUUGACUAGCUAAGGCGUUUAAGACCUCGACAUCUUCAAAUCCCCGUAACAAAGGUAACUCAGUGAGUUCUUGAGGAAUGACCUGUAUUUGAGCCCCUGUAUUGGUAAAGCUGACCCGUCCAUCCCCAACUGCAUAGGUUAAGCGGCGGUUGACUCGAAAGCUACCACCCACUGUUUCUACCCAAGGCAGCAGUUUUAAGAGCCACCGUGAGCUGAUGCCUUGCAUCUGCGGCUUGGUCUUGGUGGUCGUUGCUAGGUUACGUGCACCUUCUGUACUCAAGCUCAUUUGCUGGUGCAAACG
rnacentral:antisense_RNA from 1 species